rnacentral:rRNA from 1 species
GACGAACGCUGGCGGCGUGCUUAACACAUGCAAGUCGAACGCGCUGCACUCCUUCGGGAGUACAGCGAGUGGCGAACGGGUGAGUAACACGUGAGCAACCUGCCCUUGACUCUGGAAUAACAGCUGGAAACAGCUGCUAAUACCGGAUACGACCUCCGAUGGCAUCAUCUGGAGGUGGAAAGCUCCGACGGUCAAGGAUGGGCUCGCGGCCUAUCAGCUUGUUGGUGAGGUAACGGCUCACCAAGGCUUCGACGGGUAGCCGGCCUGAGAGGGCGACCGGCCACACUGGGACUGAGAUACGGCCCAGACUCCUACGGGAGGCAGCAGUGGGGAAUAUUGCACAAUGGGCGCAAGCCUGAUGCAGCAACGCCGCGUGCGGGAUGACGGCCUUCGGGUUGUAAACCGCUUUCAGUAGGGACGAAGGUAACCUGACGGUACCUACAGAAGAAGGACCGGCCAACUACGUGCCAGCCGCCGCGGUAAAAC